GCCCCUGACUCUGGGAUAAGCGCUGGAAACGGCGUCUAAUACUGGAUAUGUGACGUGACCGCAUGGUCUGCGUUUGGAAAGAUUUUUCGGUUGGGGAUGGGCUCGCGGCCUAUCAGCUUGUUGGUGAGGUAAUGGCUCACCAAGGCGUCGACGGGUAGCCGGCCUGAGAGGGUGACCGGCCACACUGGGACUGAGACACGGCCCAGACUCCUACGGGAGGCAGCAGUGGGGAAUAUUGCACAAUGGGCGAAAGCCUGAUGCAGCAACGCCGCGUGAGGGAUGACGGCCUUCGGGUUGUAAACCUCUUUUAGCAGGGAAGAAGCGAAAGUGACGGUACCUGCAGAAAAAGCGCCGGCUAACUACGUGCCAGCAGCCGCGGUAAUACGUAGGGCGCAAGCGUUAUCCGGAAUUAUUGGGCGUAAAGAGCUCGUAGGCGGUUUGUCGCGUCUGCUGUGAAAUCCCGAGGCUCAACCUCGGGCCUGCAGUGGGUACGGGCAGACUAGAGUGCGGUAGGGGAGAUUGGAAUUCCUGGUGUAGCGGUGGAAUGCGCAGAUAUCAGGAGGAACACCGAUGGCGAAGGCAGAUCUCUGGGCCGUAACUGACGCUGAGGAGCGAAAGGGUGGGGAGCAAACAGGCUUAGAUACCCUGGUAGUCCACCCCGUAAACGUUGGGAACUAGUUGUGGGGUCCAUUCCACGGAUUCCGUGACGC
rnacentral:rRNA from 1 species